rnacentral:rRNA from 1 species
GCAUGAAGUCGGAAUUGCUAGUAAUCGUAGGUCAGCAUACUACGGUGAAUACGUUCCCGGGCCUUGUACACACCGCCCGUCAAACCAUGAGAGUUGGCAACACCCGAAGUCGGUAGUCUAACCGCAAGGAGGACGCCGCCGAAGGUGGGGGUUGAUGAUUAGGGUUAAGUCGUAACAAGGUACC